UUUCUUGUUAAAAAUCUGUAAGAGAGUGAACUGCUUGUAAAAGUUGUAAGAGGGGUAUUCACCCUUUACUUUCAAGAGAUUUGCUAGUGGAAGGUGGAAGCCUCAUCGAAGAGGGGCCUCGCAAGUGGAUGUAGGUCACUUGACCGAACCACUUUAAAAACGGCGUAAUCUCUGGUUUGCAUUUCUUAUUAUCAUUUACAUUACUGCAAAUCUUCUUACUUGCUUUGUUUCAUCAUUACCUUUGCUGCGCAACUUUAAGAAUACGCUUUCAAGUUAAGCUUUUCAAGUUCCGUUCUUAUCGUACGAAAGAUUUUACUAAAACCGAAGUUUUAAUCCGCUGCACUAAUUCACCCCCCCCCUCUUAGUGCCACUCCGAUCCUAACA
rnacentral:lncRNA from 1 species